UGGCUCAGUGGUAGAGCGCUUGCCUUGCGUGCAUGAAGCCUGGGUUCGAUUCCUCAG
rnacentral:tRNA from 1 species